rnacentral:rRNA from 1 species
GUCUAUGGCCAUACCACCCUGAACACGCCUGAUGUCGUCUGAUCUCAGAAGCUAAGCAGUGUCGGGUCUGGUUAGCACUUGGAUGGGAAAAUACAAGUCUUCUUUAGUCA